ACUAGAGGAAAACACAGUUUAGUUUAAUGUCUGGAAUCUCUGGAGAAUUAUGGCAGCCACUAUGCUGGUGUCCCGGGACAAGGUGCAGGGCUGCUCGAUAGCGCAUACUGGUGCUGAUAGAUACUGAUUCGCAGCCAGUGACCAGCAUGCUGUACGUACACGGCUUUCUUUAUGGCGCGAUCAGCUGGCCCUGUGUGGGGAUUUAGCUAAGAAGCCGUAGAACUUUCAGGGUGUUGUUUCUGUGUGCUCUGGUCCGGGUGCUCCUUGACGCCGCAGCCGGCGCCUCGUAAUGACGUCAUCAUUUGGACGGAGCGGGACGCGACUGGCCGGAGGCGCCAUGGAUCAUCAGACGGAGUUAAAAGGAUUUCUGUCCACGUUCCAAAUCCCGUCUACAUUGGGAAGCCUAUUUAAAUAUUUGCCUGAAAUCGAAUGGACAGGCAUUCCUUAUGUUAUAGAUGGAAGAAAAGUUCUUACCUGUCACUUAGGAAAAGAUUUGUCACUUACACAAAAAAAAAAUAUGAAGCUGAAAAGAACAUUAAACAGUUAACCCUUCUGGCGAAAGCAUAAUGGAUGCAAGGUAAUUAUCAUGAAUAGAUAAAAAGGAUGCAUAUCUUCCGUUUCCCAUCUGGAAGGACAUCAUAAACUCCUCAUCUUUGCAAUGAGAGACUUGCAUUUCCUGUUCCAGGCCCUACCAUUAGGCAUGUUCAUAGAGUCCAGAGUUUACUCAAAGGACUUUGCCCACAUGGUUUCUGUGUUGAGGCACAGAGGAAACACCAUCAUCCCUUAUUUGGACAAACUUCUAAUAAAGUUCACCUUAUAAUUCUUGUUUCUACAGCAUCUUCAGAUGGCAUUUUAAGCACUCGGUUGUAUCCCAAAUUAUCCCAAUUUCUCUGACGUCCUAGU